rnacentral:siRNA from 1 species
UCAACUCUUCUCUUGUAGAUGCCU